UACGUAGGGUGCAAGCGUUGUCCGGAAUUAUUGGGCGUAAAGAGCUCGUAGGCGGCUUGUCGCGUCGACUGUGAAAUCCCGCGGCUCAACUGCGGGUCUGCAGUCGAUACGGGCAGGCUAGAGUGUGGUAGGGGAGAUCGGAAUUCCUGGUGUAGCGGUGAAAUGCGCAGAUAUCAGGAGGAACACCGGUGGCGAAGGCGGAUCUCUGGGCCAUUACUGACGCUGAGGAGCGAAAGCGUGGGGAGCGAACAGG
rnacentral:rRNA from 1 species